rnacentral:rRNA from 1 species
AGGUUACUGCUAUCGAGGUUCGACUAAGCCAUGCGAGUCGAAUGUAGCAAUACAUGGCGUACUGCUCAGUAACACGUGGACAACCUACCCUUGGGACGGGGAUAAACCCGGGAAACUGGGUAUAAUACCCGAUAGAUCUCGACUGCUGGAAUGCAUCGAGUUCGAAAGCUCCGGUGCCCAAGGAUGGGUCUGCGGCCUAUCAGGUAGUAGUGGGUGUAGCGUACCUACUAGCCUACGACGGGUACGGGUUGUGAGAGCAAGAGCCCGGAGAUGGAUUCUGAGACACGAAUCCAGGCCCUACGGGGUGCAGCAGGCGCGAAAACUUUACAAUGCUGGAAACAGCGAUAAGGGGACCUCGAGUGCCAGGUUACAAAUCUGGCUGUCGUGAUGCCUAAAAAGCAUUGCAUAGCAAGGGCCGGGCAAGACCGGUGCCAGCCGCCGCGGUAACACCGGCGGCUCGAGUGGUAACCGUUAUUAUUGGGUCUAAAGGGUCUGUAGCCGGCCGGAUAAGUCUCUUGGGAAAUCUGGCAGCUUAACUGUCAGGCUUUCAGGGGAUACUGUCUGGCUCGAGGCCGGGAGAGGUGAGAGGUACUUCAGGGGUAGGGGUGAAAUCUUGUAAUCCUUGAAGGACCACCAGUGGCGAAGGCGUCUCACCAGAACGGACCUGACGGCAAGGGACGAAAGCUAGGGGCACGAACCGGAUUAGAUACCCGGGUAGUCCUAGCCGUAAACGAUACUCGCUAGGUGUCGGCCACGGUGCGACCGUGGUCGGUGCCGUAGGGAAGCCGUGAAGCGAGCCACCUGGGAAGUACGGCCGCAAGGCUGAAACUUAAAGGAAU